rnacentral:rRNA from 1 species
CCUACGGGAGGCUGCAGUAGGGAAUCUUCCACAAUGGGCGAAAGCCUGAUGGAGCAACGCCGCGUGGGUGAAGAAGGUCUUCGGAUCGUAAAACCCUGUUGUUAGAGAAGAAAGUGCGUGAGAGUAACUGUUCACGUUUCGACGGUAUCUAACCAGAAAGCCACGGCUAACUACGUGCCAGCAGCCGCGGUAAUACGUAGGUGGCAAGCGUUAUCCGGAUUUAUUGGGCGUAAAGGGAACGCAGGCGGUCUUUUAAGUCUGAUGUGAAAGCCUUCGGCUUAACCGGAGUAGUGCAUUGGAAACUGGGAGACUGGAGUGCAGAAGAGGAGAGUGGAACUCCAUGUGUAGCGGUGAAAUGCGUAGAUAUAUGGAAGAACACCAGUGGCGAAAGCGGCUCUCUGGUCUGUAACUGACGCUGAGGUUCGAAAGCGUGGGUAGCAAACAGGAUUAGAUACCCCGGUAGUC